ensembl:lncRNA
AUUUAGCUCAGUGGUUUUGCCGCCUGCUGCACAAGCGCAAGGACCCGAGUUUGAUCCCGGGUACCAAAAAAAAAAAAAAGACACAAAUAAAACAUCCAGAACCUCCUCCCAGGGUUUGGAGAAUUCCGUGGAACUCACAGCGAUCCUCCUGCCUCGGCUUCCCAGAUGCUGGGAUUACAGUGGAGGUGCAAGGAUCCCGGAAGGGCCCUUUCAUUCUGCCUUUAACUGGCCUGCAGGAGCCCCUCCUUUCCAACACGUAAGGAGCAUUCGGUCUCCACGGCAGACACGGGGUCCCCCGGCCGGAGCUGGCAGGACUGUGUCCCAUCCAGUUGGACAGCCGGCGUGUGUAUGCUCCGGACUCAUAAGAUCCCAAUUGCUGGACCCAGAAAAGGCCAUAUCCAGCAAUUGGGUCAUAGGGGCCUGGGGCCCCUCUGAAAUUUUUGUGACUUGCACCGAAUGUCUGGGGCUGAGAGACUAAUGUGGUUCUGUCUCAUCAUGCCUGACCUUCCUUGGAAGCUGGAUCUAGCUACAGAAACCAAACCGUUUACUUAGCCAAGAAUGUGAAGAAUGCCUCUGUCCCAAGUAUUUCCAGUUCUCACUGAAGCCACUGAGUACUCAGCACGGUUGCAAGCCACAGCCUUGUCCUGGUCCUCUCGACCUCCCUCCCAGGGCCACCUCUCCCUCUCCCGCCUGGAGAGCCCUUCCCAGGGGAGACAGAGGAGCAGAUCCAGAGACCAGAAGGCCCAGUGCCCUGACAUCAAGGCCGCAGGGCGAUGGAGGGCCCUCCCUGUCCCCAGAGGGAGUAAGCAAGGGAGAGACAGCAAGGGUUCACUUGAACUUCCUCUGCCCCCUAAGCCUGUUUCCCACCAGCAGCUGCUGCUCUCCCUCCUCUCCUACCUCCUCCUCCCCACCACUUAGGUCAGGCCCGCCUUGAACUCACUAUGUAGCCAGGCUUGCCUGGAACUCCCAGUGAUCCUCCUGCCUCGGCCUCCUGCAUGCUGGGAUCACAGGCUCGCUCCACCACACCUGGCUAACUUUCAGUGGAUUUAUUGGGAUGUGGCCCCAUUGUAAGUCCGGGAGCUCCUGACUCCCUUGGCAGUGGGGCAGAGAGACACAGAUGGCUAUUGGCAGGGUCACCAGCCAGCCUGCUUGUUUCCGGUCCUCCCUCUCACAAUCCAUCUCCACAAGGAAGCAGAGGGAUCUGCUCAACAUUCCCAGGAGGAAAGACGGGGCGGGGCCUGGGCCACCAUGGAGGAGCCCCUCCCCUCUGGCCCCAGCCUCUUCGUGAGCCACCCCGAGUGUCCCGAGUAACUGUGCCAUCAUCAUGUGAUCACGUGGGUGUGCAUGGAGACCCCAGUAAACCUUUGGUCCUGCCUGGCCUUGCUGUCUCUGUUUCUCCUGGGAACCUAGCCUUGCCUCAGUCCAUCAGAAAGUCAGUCAACAAACACCCUUCCUAUUGCUGAGCAAGGUGGGGGGACCCCAGCACAUUGCAGACCUGGUUCCACCAGCAAAGGGCUCCCAAAUUGUGAGGGGUGACAGGUUUAGGUGUUGCUCAAAACAAUUGACAUAGAUCACCGUACACUGGACCCUCAAAAGAGUAUAAGGAAGGGACUUUAAUUGUCCCUUUUUCAGGUAAGGUCACUGAGCCUAGGAAGGUUGAAAGACUUGCCUUUGUUCCUAAAGCUAGCUAGUGCCCAACAAGCCAGGUUUAUCCGCAACAGAUUUUUUAUUUUAUUAUUUUAUUUUGUUUUGUUUUUUGAGAGAGAGUCUUGCUAUGUAGCUCAGGAUGAAUUUAAACUCACUAUAUAACCCUGGCUGACUAGGAACUCAUAUAAUCCUCCUGCCUCAACCUCCCAAGUGCUAGGAUUAUGGUAUGCAGCACCACCUCUAGGUUUAAUGCAUAAAUAUGAACAUUAAAUGUGAUGAAUUGAGGUGUGAGAACUGUCUAGGGGACAUGGUGAGAAUUACUUUUCAUUAGACCUUGCAUUCUGUAUCAUGUUCGCUUUUUUUGUUUGUUUUGUUGUUGUUGGGGUUUUUUUGUUUUUUUGUGUGUUUUUUGGUACCGGGGAUCGAACUCGGGCCCUUGCGCUUGUGAGGCAGGCAGCAGAACCACUGAGCUAAAUCCCCAGCCCUGGUGAUGGUUUUUUGAGACAGGGUCUGGCCUCGAACUCACAGCAAUCCUCCAGCCUCAGCCUCAGCGUCAGGCUCCCAAGUGCUGGGAUUACAAGCGUGCACUACCGUUCCUGGCAUCACUAUUUUUUUUAAUUAAAAAAAAAAAAAAAAAAUCAUGGCCGGGGAUUUAGCUCAGUGGUGCUGCCGCCUGCCUCGCAAGCACAAGGUACUGAGUUCCACUCACGGUACAAAAAAAAAAAAAAACUCAUCGG